UAGGGAAUCUUCCACAAUGGACGCAAGUCUGAUGGAGCAACGCCGCGUGAGUGAAGAAGGUUUUCGGAUCGUAAAGCUCUGUUGUUGGUGAAGAAGGAUAGAGGCAGUAACUGGUCUUUAUUUGACGGUAAUCAACCAGAAAGUCACGGCUAACUACGUGCCAGCAGCCGCGGUAAUACGUAGGUGGCAAGCGUUGUCCGGAUUUAUUGGGCGUAAAGCGAGCGCAGGCGGAAUGAUAAGUCUGAUGUGAAAGCCACGGCUCAACCGUGGAACUGCAUCGGAAACUGUCAUUCUUGAGUGCAGAAGAGGAGAGUGGAACUCCAUGUGUAGCGGUGGAAUGCGUAGAUAUAUGGAAGAACACCAGUGGCGAAGGCGGCUCUCUGGUCUGCAACUGACGCUGAGGCUCGAAAGCAUGGGUAGCGAACAGGAUUAGAUACCCUGGUAGUCCAUGCCGUAAACGAUGAGCGCUAGGUGUUGGGGACUUUCCGGCCCUGCAGUGCCGCAGCAAACGCA
rnacentral:rRNA from 1 species